rnacentral:rRNA from 1 species
GAUGAACGCUGGCGGCGUGCCUAAUACAUGCAAGUCGAGCGAACAGACCAGGAGCUUGCUCCUCUGACGUUAUCGGCGGACGGGUGAGUAACACGUGGAUAACCUACCUAUCAGACUGGGAUAACUUCGGGAAACCGGAGCUAAUACCGGAUAAUAUAUUGAACCGCAUGGUUCAAUAGUGAAAGACGGUUUUGCUGUCACUUAUAGAUUGAUCCGCGCCGCAUUAGCUAGUUGGUGAGGUAACGGCUUACCAAGGCAACGAUGCGUAGCCGACCUGAGAGGGUGAGCGGCAACACUGGAAAUGAGAAACGGUCCAGACUCCUACGGGAGGCAGCAGUAGGGAAUCUUCCGCAAUGGGCGAAAGCGUGACGGAGCAACGACGCGUGAGUGAUGAAGGUCUUCGGAUCGUAAAACUCUGUUAUGAGGGAAGAACAAAUGUGUAAGUAACUAGGCACGUCUUGACGGUACCUAAUCAGAAAGCCACGGCUAACUACGUG